UGUAAGCGUAUACCAAAGUUGUUGCAGUUAAAACGCUCGUAGUCGGACUUUGGCAGUUCCGGAUGUGUGCACGUCGUGUGCGCACUUCGCGGGGAUUGCUUUUGUGGUCUUGCGUAGGAUGAGGCACUUUUAUUAGUGAACGUCCUCACGCAACCACUUUUUACUGUGAGAAAAUCAGAGUGCUCAAAGCAGGCAUUUGCCGUGAAUGUAUUAGCAUGGAAUAAUAGAAUAGGACUUGGUUCUAUUUUGUUGGUUUGUUGGGACUGAGUAAUGAUUAAGAGGGACAGUUGGGGGCAUUUGUAUUUCGGUGCUAGAGGUGAAAUUCUUAGAUUACCGAAAGACAAACUGCUGCGAAAGCGUCUGCCAAGGAUGUUUUCAUUGA
rnacentral:rRNA from 1 species